rnacentral:rRNA from 1 species
UACGAAGGGGGCUAGCGUUGCUCGGAAUCACUGGGCGUAAAGCGCACGUAGGCGGAUCUUUAAGUCAGGGGUGAAAUCCCAAGGCUCAACCUUGGAGCUGCCUUUGAUACUGGGGAUCUCGAGUCCGGAAGAGGGUUGGUGGAACUGGCGAGUGUAGAGGUGAAAUUCGUAGAUAUUCGCAAGAACACCAGUGGCGAAGGCGGCCAACUGGUCCGGUACUGACGCUGAGGUGCGAAAGCGUGGGGAGCAACAGGG